rnacentral:rRNA from 1 species
UUGCCAGCCCGCUCAGAAACUUAAAGGAAUUGACGGGGGCCCGCACAAGCGGAGGAGCAUGUGGUUUAAUUCGAUGAUACGCGAGGAACCUUACCUGGGCUUAAAUGCUUAAUGACGUACUGGGAAACUGGUAUUUCUUCGGACAUUUUGCAAGGUGCUGCAUGGUUGUCGUCAGCUCGUGCCGUGAGGUGUCGGGUUAAGUCCCAUAACGAGCGCAACCCCUAUUGUUAGUUGCCAUCAGGUCAUGCUGGGGACUCUAACAAAACUGCCCGCGUAAGCGUGGAGGAAGGUGGGGAUGACGUCAAAUCAGCACGGCCCUUACGUCCAGGGCUACACACGUGCUACAAUGGCCGGUACAGAGGGCAGCCACUUGGUGACAAGGAGCAAAUCUCAAAAGCCGGUCUCAGUUCGGAUCGGAGUCUGCAACUCGACUCCGUGAAGUUGGAUUCGCUAGUAAUCGUAGAUCAGCAAUGCUACGGUGAAUACGUUCCCGGGCCUU